GAAUAAGCAUCGGCUAACUCCGUGCCAGCAGCCGCGGUAAUACGGAGGAUGCGAGCGUUAUCCGGAUUUAUUGGGUUUAAAGGGAGCGCAGGCUGCGAGGCAAGUCAGCGGUCAAAUGUCGGGGCUCAACCCCGGCCUGCCGUUGAAACUGUCUUGCUAGAGUUCGAGUGAGGUAUGCGGAAUGCGUUGUGUAGCGGUGAAAUGCAUAGAUAUGACGCAGAACUCCGAUUGCGAAGGCAGCAUACCAACUCGCGACUGACGCUGAGGCUCGAAAGCGUGGGUAUCGAACAGGAUUAGAUACCCUGGUAGUCCACGCAGUAAACGAUGAAUACUAACUGUUCGGAGGGCGACCUCUGAGUGGUAAAGCGAAAGCGUUAAGUAUUCCACCUGGGGAGUACGCCGGCAACGGUGAAACUCAAAGGAAUUGACGGGGGCCCGCACAAGCGGAGGAACAUGUGGUUUAAUUCGAUGAUACGCGAGGAACCUUACCCGGGCUCAAACGUCGGGCGAACCAUCCUGAAAGGGAUGGGCCAGCAAUGGCGGCCGACGAGGUGCUGCAUGGUUGUCGUCAGCUCGUGCCGUGAGGUGUCGGCUUAAGUGCCAUAACGAGCGCAACCCCCGCGUCCAGUUGCCAGCGAGUAGAGUCGGGCACUCUGGACGGACUGCCGGCGCAAGCCGCGAGGAAGGCGGGGAUGACGUCAAAUCAGCACGGCCCUUACGUCCGGGGCGACACACGUGUUACAAUGGCGUGGAACAGAGGGAAGCCACCUGGCGACAGGGAGCGGAACCCGAAAACACGUCUCAGUUCGGAUUGGAGUCUGCAACUCGACUCCAUGAAGCUGGAUUCGCUAGUAAUCGCGCAUCAGCCAUGGCGCGGUGAAUACGUUCCCGGGCCUUGUACACACCGCCCGU
rnacentral:rRNA from 1 species